rnacentral:rRNA from 1 species
UACGGAGGGAGCUAGCGUUGUUCGGAAUUACUGGGCGUAAAGCGCACGUAGGCGGCUUUGUAAGUUAGAGGUGAAAGCCCGGGGCUCAACCCCGGAAUUGCCUUAAGACUGCAUCGCUUGAAUCCGGGAGAGGUGAGUGGAACUGCGAGUGUAGAGGUGAAAUUCGUAGAUAUUCGCAAGAACACCAGUGGCGAAGGCGGCUCACGUGGCCCGG